AAAAUAUUCUCACUGAAAUGCGGGGAGGCACCUGAAGCCUUUCCGCUGCACACUUCUGCAUCCCAUUGAAGGCAAGAGGCCCUAAGCAGCUCAAACCUGAAGAGGCCCUGAAUGUCAGAGUAGCACUUUUCUGAUGUUCAAGACUCCUCUACUGGCAAAGUCAAUAUGCCUGGCAAAUAGCAUAUGCCUGACAGAACCAGCAGGCUGUGCACAGAUCCACAUUCUUGUCUUGUUUCUAACUCAGUCCUUUCAGCCAGAUUAGCUGUUACUGAAGGAUGCUACCCUUCCAUCCCUGCACAUGGAAGACAAUGCCGUGCUCCUCCAGCUUGCUCUUUCACUGCAGCCAUUUCACGCCCAGUGCUCCAAACAAUCCAUACUUUUCAGAGGAAAACCUUUCUAGGAAAACAGAUGUAAGAACAGCAGGUACAACCACCCAUGCUCACCAGGUUUUACUACACUCUUACAGCAACACCAAACAGCAUUAAAGCAGAGUCUUCAACCACUGGAAUUACUCAAGCCUCACUAAGGUGCAUUGGUGACCAUUCUCUGACAACCUGCUCCAAAGGACAUCCCACUAGUACCAACCCAUAUGGGCUGCUUGAGGAAAAAGCCUGCAGAAGCCACCUGAAUUCUCAUCAGGGGCUGCUCUGAUUAGAAAUACCUAAAGGCACGUGGCUGUCUCUUCUGAAGAUGUUCCAUCAGUACUAUUAAAAGUUUAACAACAGAUCUUUCUGAUUAGUAAUCCCUCACUUUCAUCUACAGAUCACUGUUUGAGUGAAUUUUUCCUGAGCAGUUCAGGCAUGCCCCUACACUGCCCUUCUCCCAGGGAGCCGCCAUCCGCUGCAGAGUAAGGGAAACCAGCUCAGCCCACAGCAGGGUGGAACUAUUUUAAGUAAUGGUGUCUGAUACUGGAGGAGCAUGAAAUUCAGUCUUGUCAUAGCUGGGAUGCCUAAACCCCCCUCGGAAAAAAAAAAAUGCUAUUGCAAAACCCUUCCCAGAGGCUUAUAAACUCAACUCUGGAAUUGCUCUCAAGUUGUAAGCCAGUAAAAGUUUGGUUCUGUAUCUCAUAGCUUACUAUUUCAAUAAAUAAAUAAAAAUACAUCUAACCACAGCAACAGCUACCUGGACAUAUAUAUCUUUAUUGCUUGAGGAUCUGAAAGCAGGAUGAGUUCUCUUGCCUCCAUUUCAAGAUC
ensembl:lncRNA